AUUGAACGCUGGCGGCAGGCUUAACACAUGCAAGUCGAACGAGUGGCGGACGGGUGAGUAAUGCUUGGGAAUCUGGCUUAUGGAGGGGGAUAACUACGGGAAACUGUAGCUAAUACCGCGUACCAUAGGAUGAGCCCAAGUGGGAUUAGGUAGUUAGUGAGGUAAAGGCUCACCAAGCCGACGAUCUCUAGCUGGUCUGAGAGGAUGACCAACCACAACGGGAAUGGGGAACGGCCCAGACUGCUAAGGGAGGCAGCAGGGGGGAAGAGUGGGCAAUGGGGGGAACCUGAAGGAGCCAUGCCGCGUGAAUGAUGAAGGGCUUCGGGUUGGAAAGCUCGUUAGUCAGGGAGACGUUACCGGAAGAGAAAGCCACGGCUAACUACGUGCCAGCAGCCGCGGUAAUAC
rnacentral:rRNA from 1 species